GCGCGGCUCCUCCUUAGGGUCAAUUGGUCAAUGACCCCCCUAAAAUAAUCUCAUAAAAAUACCAAUUUUAUUAAAAAUAUCUUUUAUCUAAAACUUCACUCUGAAAUACUCUCAGCAGUCUGCAUUGGCAAAACAAAUAUAAUAGAUAUAAUAACGUCGCGCCUCGCGCUAUACACAAGCCCGUGGCUGGGCCGUAUUUUAAAUUGUCUACAUACAGUUCUUAUGGCUUAUGGACAAAUGCAUGUAAAAUAGAAAAGAGACGGCAGAUAGCAAUUUCGUGGGCGAGAGUGGGAGUGACCUUUCCGUCGUAUACCUGUAGUAGAGUCGACGGCCUCACGUUUAGUUAGUUACCGUCUGCUUGUUCAAUGAGAAGGUCAUAGACUAUUUUGCAGAACUAAAGGAUAGAAGAAUUGACUUAAAAUAUAAAAAUAUUUAAAGUAAGUUUCGUUUUAAUAAAUUUACAAUUUAUUAUACUAUAAAUAUUCCUAUCUAUAUAUCAGUCAAUAACCUGUUCAUACCAUUUUUCCUAUAUUUUUUAAAAGAUUUACUCUAAAAAAAGACAAAUUUAAUUUUCGGAAAACUAGGGUAAAUAGUAUUGAGUUUUAUCUAAGUCUGUAUUUUUUAUCUAAAAUAUAAAUGCUAAAAGAUCUUUUAAAUACUUUAAAAAAUCAACAGUUUGAAGUUUUCAAACCAAAAUGACCCCCCUGAAGAUUGACCCACGAGCCGCCGCUGUUUAAAACUAAAAUUUGUUAAUAAUGCUCAGUAAUGCAUAUAUUUUGUAUUUUUAGCUUUCCAGAAGAUCCUGCGAAGAAGGCAUGAAGUAUUGAUCAGAUUUGUUAAUAGAGCAGUAUGUUCAAAACAUUUUUUAGAAAAAGAUAUUGACAGAACUUCACUUUCAACUGUUCGUUUGAGAGACUGUGCUGUUCCAAUAGCUUAUAUCACACAGAAUCAGCUGAGAGAAGUGGUCUACAAAAAACCAGGAAGGAAAUGGAAUAUGUGGCUAUGAAAGGCAAAAGAAAGGUUUACAAAGCAAAUGUGACACAUUUUUUUAUAGGAAUAUCAGUAAAUUACAUUAAAAAAAUGUAUGAAAAGAUUUUUUGCAAUAAAAAUGUUUAUAUUUA